UCCCUGUGGAUAGCUCAGUCGGUUGAGUGUGAGGCUCCUAAUCUUAGGGCUGUGGGUUUGAGCCCUGCAUUGGGUGAA